GAGGGGGAUAUUAGUCAGGUAGGUAGAGAGGGAGGGGGAGAGGGAUAUUAGUCAGGUAGGUAGAGAGGAAGGGGGAGAGGGAUAUUAGUCAGAUGGGUAGAGAGAGGGAGAGGGAUAUUAGUCAGGUAGGUAGAGAGGAUGGGGGAGAGGGAUAUUAGUCAGGUAGGUAGAGAGGAUGGGGGAGAGGGAUAUUAGUCAGGUAGGUAGAGAGGAUGGGGGAGAGGGAUAUUAGUCAGGUAGGUAGAGAGGAAGGGGGAGAGGGAUAUUAGUCAGGUAGGUAGAGAGGAUGGGGGAGAGGGAUAUUAGUCAGGUAGGUAGAGAGGAUGGGGGAGAGGGAUAUUAGUCAGGUAGGUAGAGAGGAUGGGGGAGAGGGAUAUUAGUCAGGUAGGUAGAGAGGAUGGGGGAGAGGGAUAUUAGUCAGGUAGGUAGAGAGGAUGGGGGAGAGGGAUAUUAGUCAGGUAGGUAGAGAGGAAGGGGGAGAGGGAUAUUAGUCAGGUAGGUAGAGAGGAAGGGGAGAGGGAUAUUAGUCAGGUAGGUAGAGAGGAUGGGGGAGAGGGAUAUUAGUCAGAUGGGUAGAGAGAGGGAGAGGGAUAUUAGUCAGGUAGGUAGAGAGGAUGGGGGAGAGGGAUAUUAGUCAGAUGGGUAGAGAGAGGGAGAGGGAUAUUAGUCAGGUAGGUAGAGAGGAAGGGGGAGAGGGAUAUUAGUCAGGUAGGUAGAGAGGAAGGGGGAGAGGGAUAUUAGUCAGGUAGGUAGAGAGGAAGGGGGAGAGGGAUAUUAGUCAGGCAGGUAGAGAGGAAGGGGAGAGGGGGGUGGUGAGAAGGAGAGGGGUAAAGAAAGAGAAGUGCAGAAGGGAAGGAGGGAGGAAGGUGAGGAGAGGGGAAGAUGAGGAGGCAGGGAGCUGAGUCAGAAAAUAAAUGUGGCGUGGAAAGAGACGGAGGGGAGAGACGCCAUCCUGAGUCGCAAAUAUAUAUAUCACAGUGGCAUUCUACAACACAUCCACAAUGUGGUGCCAGCGAUCCACUUCACCCUCAAGCACAGAU